AGAGUUUGAUCAUGGCUCAGAACGAACGCUGGCGGCGUGCUUAACACAUGCAAGUCGCGUGCGCAGUCUGUAGCAAUACAGGCCGGCGCACGGCGCACGGGUGCGUAACACGUGGGCAAUCUGCCCUCUGAUGGGGAAUAACCCCGCGAAAGCGGGGCUAAUUCCGCAUAAAAUUCCGAGGACUUCGGUUUUUGGAUUCAAAGCAGUAAUGCGUCAGAGGAGGAGCCCGCGCCCGAUUAGCUAGUUGGUGAGGUAACGGCUCACCAAGGCAAUGAUCGGUAGCUGGUCUGAGAGGAUGAUCAGCCACACUGGAACUGAGACACGGUCCAGACUCCUACGGGAGGCAGCAGUGGGGAAUCUUGCACAAUGGGCGAAAGCCUGAUGCAGCGACGCCGCGUGGGGGAUGAAGCUUUUCGGAGUGUAAACCCCUUUCGACUGGGAAGAAAACCCGCAAGGGAUUGACGGUACCAGUAUAAGAAGCCCCGGCUAACUACGUGCCAGCAGCCGCGGUAAGACGUAGGGGGCCAGCGUUGUUCGGAAUUACUGGGUGUAAAGGGUUCGUAGGCGGUGCGGCAAGUUGGGAGUGAAAUCUCUGGGCUCAACCCAGAGGCUGCUUCCAAAACUGCUGUGCUUGAGUGUGAGAGAGGCUCGUGGAAUUGCAGGUGUAGCGGUGAAAUGCGUAGAUAUCUGCAGGAACACCCGUGGCGAAAGCGGCGAGCUGGAUCACUACUGACGCUGAGGAACGAAAGCUAGGGGAGCAAACAGGAUUAGAUACCCUGGUAGUCCUAGCCCUAAACGAUCAGGACUUGGGGUGCCGCCCGUUCGGGCGUCGUCCCGGAGCUAACGCGUUAAGUCCUGCACCUGGGGAGUACGGUCGCAGACUGAAACUCAAAGGAAUUGACGGGGCCCCGCACAAGCGGUGGAACAUGUGGUUCAAUUCGACGCUACGCGAGG
rnacentral:rRNA from 1 species